ensembl:lncRNA
UGUGUGUGUGUGUGUGUGAUGACCUAAGAUGAUUUUGGUGUUAUUUUCUUCUGUAGUAUCUGUGGAAUAAACUGCAGAUCAUUUUGUGGAUGGGUGUGUAAGAGAUCAGACUCAUCUGAUCCACCUUUGCAGCUCCAAUAUGGAUGACGCACAGACAUCCAGUGAUGGAGACUUUUGUCCAGGAAUCAGUUCAGUCCAGCAGAAGAGAACAGGAUCAGCAGAGCCCAGCUGUGUGUCUAUGAGGAGCGAUCAGUCUAUGAAUCCACCACUGUUUUUUAAUGAUGGAAACACAUUACCUGGCUGCAAGUCCAAUAUUUCUGCAAACACAUGUUCAGUCAAGCCUAUGAGAACAGAAUCAGCAGAGCCCAGCUGUGUGUCAAUGAAGAGUGAUCAGUCUAUGAACCCACCACUGUUUUUUAAUGAUGGAAACACAUCAUCUAGCAGCAGAAAGAGAAAACACUGCAUGAAGAUGAAUCUACCAAAACCCAGCCAUGUUCCUGUGAAGAGGGACUGUUCAGUGGAUCAGCCAAUACUUUCCACUGGUGGAAACGCUGCCUGCUGGUACAGUUUAUAAUGUUUUGUAUCCUUCAGGACUAAGUCUUAUAUUUACUUUUUGAAAACAUAGCAAUACCAGCAGUCCACAGUGCCGGUAGUAGCGACCUGCUGACAGGUGGCUGCUCAGAAGAACAUCAAAGCUUUCAAUUUACAUGUUUUUGCAACAUUGUAGCCAAUCACAGGUAUGUUUGUUGAGUAUGUGAACAGAAUGGCCAAUCAGAGGCAUGUAAUGGCAAGUUCACACUACAGGAUUUUAAGAUCUAUUUGCAACUCAAUGAGUUUGCUAACAGGUCGGACUUUGAUUGGGGGAAAGUCAAUGGGUGAUCAGAUAGAAAAGUCCAUUUGUUGCCAAGUGUAAACG